GCGCGCCGCCGGAGGCCGUGGGGUCCACGACGAUGGUAUCCGCGGCGAGGACCAGGGCGGGCUCGCCCUUUUCCUCAUUGUCGAUCUCCUGCCGGUAGACCGCCUGUGCUUUCCUGACGGCGGUCUCUAGGCAGUAUUCGAGCGGGGAGAGGGUUUUGGGCAGGUCCUCGGCGAAGGACGACGGGAUUAUUUCAACAUUGGGUAACCCGAGGUAGGAAAGGAUCUGGUGCCUGCGUGGGGAGCUGGAGGCGAGGAUUACACGUUUGGAUCGGAGGUCGAUCAGCGUAGGGAGCGCGAGCGCGGGCCGCCGGGGGAGGGUGGGAUGCGUGCGUCCCCCGCUUGUACCUGCGCUUGCGUUGGCGACGGAGUCUGUGGUGGGUAGGCUGGAAGGGGGCUUUUUGGAGGUGGAGUCAGGCAUUUUUUUUUUUUUUUUUUUUUUUUUUUUAAAAAAAAAAUCUUUGAUUUAUCUAAU
rnacentral:sRNA from 1 species